rnacentral:rRNA from 1 species
UACGGAGGGGGCUAGCGUUAUUCGGAAUUAUUGGGCGUAAAGGGCGCGUAGGCGGCCCGGUAAGUCAAAGGUGAAAUCCCUCGGCUCAACUGAGGAACUGCCUUUGAAACUGUCGGGCUUGAGGCCGGGAGGGGGUAGCGGAAUUCCCAGUGUAGCGGUGAAAUGCGUAGAUAUUGGGAGGAACACCGGUGGCGAAGGCGGCUACCUGGACCGGUUCUGACGCUGAUGCGCGAAAGUGUGGGGAGCGAACAGG